GGAGGCAGCAGUGGGGAAUAUUGCACAAUGGGCGCAAGCCUGAUGCAGCCAUGCCGCGUGUAUGAAGAAGGCCUUCGGGUUGUAAAGUACUUUCAGCGGGGAGGAAGGGAGUAAAGUUAAUACCUUUGCUCAUUGACGUUACCCGCAGAAGAAGCACCGGCUAACUCCGUGCCAGCAGCCGCGGUAAUACGGAGGGUGCAAGCGUUAAUCGGAAUUACUGGGCGUAAAGCGCACGCAGGCGGUUUGUUAAGUCAG
rnacentral:rRNA from 2 species